rnacentral:rRNA from 1 species
CUACGGGUUGCAGCAGUGGGGAAUAUUGCACAAUGGAGGAAACUCUGAUGCAGCAACGCCGCGUGGAGGAUGACACUUUUCGGAGCGUAAACUCCUUUUAUAUAGGAAGAAGAUGACGGUACUAUAUGAAUAAGCGCCGGCUAACUCCGUGCCAGCAGCCGCGGUAAUACGGAGGGCGCAAGCGUUACUCGGAAUCACUGGGCGUAAAGAGCGUGUAGGCGGAUUAAAAAGUCAGAAGUGAAAUCCUAUAGCUUAACUAUAGAACUGCUUCUGAAACUCUUAAUCUAGAAUAUGGGAGAGGUAGAUGGAAUUUCUGGUGUAGGGGUAAAAUCCGUAGAGAUCAGAAGGAAUACCGAUUGCGAAGGCGAUCUACUAGAACAUUAUUGACGCUGAGACGCGAAAGCGUGGGGAGCAAACAGGAUUAUACCCGCGUAGUC